GUCCACGCUGUAAACGAUGAUCACUCGUUGUUUGCGAUAUACCGCAAGUGACCAAGCGAAAGCGAUAAGUGAUCCACCUGGGGAGUACGUUCGCAAGAAUGAAACUCAAAGGAAUUGACGGGGGCCCCGCACAAGCGGAGGAACAUGUGGUUUAAUUCGAUGAUACGCGAGGAACCUUACCUGGGUUUAAAUGGGGAGUGACAGGGGUGGAAACAUCCUUUUCUUCGGACACUCUUCAAGGUGCUGCAUGGUUGUCGU
rnacentral:rRNA from 1 species